CCUUCGGGUUGUAAACCCCUUUCAGCAGGGACGAAGCGAAAGUGACUGUACCUGCAGAAGAAGCGCCGGCUAACUACGUGCCAGCAGCCGCGGUAAUACGUAGGGCGCAAGCGUUGUCCGGAAUUAUUGGGCGUAAAGAGCUCGUAGGUGGUCUGUUACGUCUGCUGUGAAAACCUAGGGCUUAACCCUGGGCCUGCAGUGGAUACGGGCAGACUAGAGGUAGGUAGGGGAGAAUGGAAUUCCCGGUGUAGCGGUGAAAUGCGCAGAUAUCGGGAGGAACACCGGUGGCGAAGGCGGUUCUCUGGGCCUUACCUGACACUGAGGAGCGAAAGCGUGGGGAGCCGAACAGGAUUAGAUACCCUGGUAGUCCACGCCGUAAACGUUUGGGCGCUAGGUGUGGGGUCCUUUCCACGGAUUCCGUGCCGCAGCUAACGCAUUAAGCGCCCCGCCUGGGGAGUACGGCCGCAAGGCUAAAACUCAAAGGAAUUGACGGGGGCCCGCACAAGCGGCGGAGCAUGUUGCUUAAUUCGAUGCAACGCGAAGAACCUUACCCA
rnacentral:rRNA from 1 species